GCGGGGGUAGCCAAGUCAGGUCAAAGGCGUACGGUUCAGGGCCGUAUCCCGUAGGGGUUCGGGGGUUCGAAUCCCCUCCCCCGCACCA
rnacentral:tRNA from 1 species